AAAAAAAAAAAAAAAAAAAAAAAAACAC
rnacentral:ribozyme from 1 species